UUAAAGUCGUAACAAGGUUUCCGUAGGUGAACCUGCGGAAGGAUCAUUACAGAAAUAGGAGAAGGUUGCUUAACUGCAAUCCUUUUCUUUCUACACAUGUGUUUUUCUUUUUUUUGAAAACUUUGCUUUGGUGGGCCCACGGCCUGCCAGAGAUUAAACUCAACCAAAUUUUUAUUUAAUUGUCAACUUGAUUAACUAAUAGUCAAAACUUUCAACAACGGAUCUCUUGGUUCUCGCAUCGAUGAAGAACGCAGCGAAAUGCGAUAAGUAAUAUGAAUUGCAGAUAUUCGUGAAUCAUCGAAUCUUUGAACGCACAUUGCGCCCUUUGGUAUUCCAAAGGGCAUGCCUGUUUGAGCGUCAUUUCUCCCUCAAACCUUCGGGUUUGGUGUUGAGCGAUACGCUGGGUUUGCUUGAAAGAAAGGCGGAGUAUAAACUAAUGGAUAGGUUUUUUUUUUCCACUCAUUGGUACAAACUCCAAACAUUCUUCCAAAUUCGACCUCAAAUCAGGUAGGACUACCCGCUGAACUUAAGCAUAUCAAUAGNGGGGAGGNAA
rnacentral:sRNA from 1 species